GCUAAACCCCUAGCCCUAACUCACCCAAUGUUAACCUUUUAACCCUAUUCACCAACUAAAGCAUUUUAACGAUUUAGUAAAGGAGAUUAAAAAACCCUUAGGAGCUACAAAAAGAGUACCGCAAGGGAAAGGUGAAAUAAAAAUGAAACAAAUUUUAAGCAAAAAGCAGUAAAGAAAAGCCCUUGUACCUUUUGCAUCAUGGUUUAACUAGUCAAAUCAAGCAAAAAGACCUUCAGUUUGACCCCCCGAAACUAAACGAGCUACUUUGAGGCAGCCUCCUGGGCCAACCCGUCUCUGUUGUAAAAGAGUGGGACGACCCCUAAGUAGCGGUGACAAACCUACCGAGUUUAGUGAUAGCUGGUUGCUUAAGAAAAGGACCUCAAUCCACACUAAAUUGACCUUCAUACAAAAAAUAUCGCCUUCAAUUUAGACUCAUUCAAGUAAGGUACAGCCUGCUUGAAAAAGGACACAACCUCCCCCUAUGGGUAAUUAAUACAACAUUUACACCUAAGUGGGCCUAAAAGCAGCCAUCUUAGUCAAUAGCGUCAUAGCUUAAUUGUAAAUAAGCUUAAUCACAUCUUACAUAUAAAACCCUACUCCACUACUGAGCAAUUCUAUACAUUAUAUGGAAAUUCUUAUGUUAAAACUAGUAACAAGAAGCCACACCUCUCUUUAAUGCAAACCCACAUCAGACUGGAUCAACCACUGAUAAAUAACACUCCUGACCCUAAAAUAGUAACUAAACAAGAAAACCCUACUUUCCCAAGUGUUAACCUAACACAAGAGCAUUACAAGAAAGAUUAAAAGAAAAAGAAGGAACUCGGCAAACAUUGACCCCGCCUGUUUACCAAAAACAUCGCCUCUUGCCCCUCACAUAAGAGGUCCAGCCUGCCCAGUGACACUGUUCAACGGCCGCGGUAUCCUAACCGUGCGAAGGUAGCGUAAUCACUUGUUCUUAAAUAAGGACUAGUUGAAAGGCACCACGAGAGUCAUACUGUCUCCUUUCUCUAAUCAGUGAAACUAAUCUUCCCGGAAGAAGCGGGGAUAAAAAUAUAAGACGAGAAGACCCUAUGGAGCUUCAAACAAAUAACACUUGCCCCAGACCCCUAAUUUCAGAAAAAUUUUCUACCCCGGCAUCAUGAUUAUUAGUUUUCGGUUGGGGUGACCACGGAAUAAAAAACAACCUCCGCAAUGAAAGACACUCAUCUACUUAAUCAAGGGCCACAACCCCACACAUCAACAAAUUGACACUAAUUGACCCAACAUGUUGAUCAAUGAACCAAGUUACCCUAGGGAUAACAGCGCAAUCCACUUCAAGAGCUCCUAUCGACAAGUGGGUUUACGACCUCGAUGUUGGAUCAGGGUGUUCCCAUGUGGUGCAGCCGCUACUAAAGGUUCGUUGUCAACGAU
rnacentral:rRNA from 1 species